UACGUAGGGUGCGAGCGUUGUCCGGAAUUAUUGGGCGUAAAGGGCUCGUAGGCGGUCUGUUGCGUCGGGAGUGAAAACUCAGGGCUUAACCCUGAGCCUGCUUCCGAUACGGGCAGACUAGAGGUAUGCAGGGGAGAACGGAAUUCCUGGUGUAGCGGUGAAAUGCGCAGAUAUCAGGAGGAACACCGGUGGCGAAGGCGGUUCUCUGGGCAUUACCUGACGCUGAGGGGCGAAAGCGUGGGGAGCGAACAGG
rnacentral:rRNA from 1 species